CCACCGUGACAAUGGACUAAACCUCUGAAACUGAAAGCCAGCUCCUUGAGGACAUUGGCCUGUGGGUGGAGGCCCUGGCUACAGCAGCAGACCAGCUCCAGCUCCUUAAGAAGCCUCCUGCAUGAUUUUCAUCUGUUUCUCCACACCAGCUAAUGUCCUGAAGAGGCCAAGCCUUUCUGAGGACACUCGUGUGCCUUUACCGUGUUAUUUCUCCUGCCUCCUCUGCUAGAACACUCUGUUCAUCUUCAGUACUGUGGUGGCCAGCCCCCAAGAUGCUCCCACCAGGCCCUACUCCUGUCGCCAUGAUCUUGUUCAUCAAAACCAUGUAAGGCCCAUCUCUGCAAUGUGUGCUACUGGGGGAUGACAGUGGAGGCCUAUUUGGUGCACGAUGAGUAAGGGCAUUUGCCACUGAGACUAACGACCUGAGUUUCCUCCCUGAAACCUGCAUGAUGAAGAGGGAGAACCUCCUAAGGAACUUGUCCUUUUGACCUCUACAGGCCACCAUACCAUGCAAUAAAUUUAAAAAAAAAAGAAAAAAGAUGUCAAAGUGCUGGAGAGAUGGCUCAGCAGCUAAGAGCGUGUACUGUUAUUCUAGAGGAGUCCUGUUCCAUUUCCAGGCACCCAUGCUGGGUAACUCAUUACCUCUUGUACCUCCAGCUCCGGGGAAUCAGAUGUCCGUUUCUGGCCUCUGUGGGCAUCUGCAUGCCUGUGACAUUCAUACUAACUUGGAUAUGCACACAUACACAUGCAUGACAAUAAUAAAAAAUAACACUUGAAAAAGA